rnacentral:piRNA from 1 species
UCCAAAGAAUUGGUAGAGGAUCUGGGGUU